rnacentral:rRNA from 1 species
GUAGGGUGCAAGCGUUAAUCGGAAUUACUGGGCGUAAAGCGUGCGCAGGCGGUUAUGUAAGACAGUUGUGAAAUCCCCGGGCUCAACCUGGGAACUGCAUCUGUGACUGCAUAGCUCGAGUACGGUAGAGGGGGAUGGAAUUCCGCGUGUAGCAGUGAAAUGCGUAGAUAUGCGGAGGAACACCGAUGGCGAAGGCAAUCCCCUGGACCUGUACUGACGCUCAUGCACGAAAGCGUGGGGAGCAAACAGGAUUAGAUACCCUGGUAGUCCACGCCCUAAACGAUGUCAACUGGUUGUUGGGUCUUCACUGACUCAGUAACGAAGCUAACGCGUGAAGUUGACCGCCUGGGGAGUACGGCCGCAAGGUUG